AUUGAACGCUGGCGGCAGGCCUAACACAUGCAAGUCGAACGGUAACAGGAAACAGCUUGCUGUUUCGCUGACGAGUGGCGGACGGGUGAGUAAUGUCUGGGAAACUGCCUGAUGGAAGGGGAUAACUACUGGAAACGGUAGCUAAUACCGCAUAACGUCGCAAGACCAAAGAGGGGGACCUUCGGGCCUCUUGCCAUCGGAUGUGCCCAGAUGGGAUUAGCUAGUAGGUGGGGUAACGGCUCACCUAGGCGACGAUCCCUAGCUGGUCUGAGAGGAUGACCAGCCACACUGGAACUGAGACACGGUCCAGACUCCUACGGGAGGCAGCAGUGGGGAAUAUUGCACAAAGGGCGCAAGCCUGAUGCAGCCAUGCCGCGUGUAUGAAGAAGGCCUUCGGGUUGUAAAGUACUUUCAGCGGGGAUGAAGGGAGUAAAGUUAAUACCUUUGCUCAUUGACGUUACCCGCAGAAGAAGCACCGGCUAACUCCGUG
rnacentral:rRNA from 1 species